GAUGAACGCUGGCGGCGUGCCUAAUACAUGCAAGUCGAGCGAACAGACGAGGAGCUUGCUCCUCUGACGUUAGCGGCGGACGGGUGAGUAACACGUGGAUAACCUACCUAUAAGACUGGGAUAACUUCGGGAAACCGGAGCUAAUACCGGAUAAUAUAUUGAACCGCAUGGUUCAAUAGUGAAAGACGGUUUUGCUGUCACUUAUAGAUGGAUCCGCGCCGCAUUAGCUAGUUGGUAAGGUAACGGCUUACCAAGGCAACGAUGCGUAGCCGACCUGAGAGGGUGAUCGGCCACACUGGAACUGAGACACGUUCCAGACUCCUACGGGAGGCAGCAGUGGGGAAUCUUCCGCAAUGGGCGAAAGCUUGACGGAGCAACGCCGCGUGAGUGAUGAAGGUCUUCGGAUCGUAAAACUCUGUUAUUAGGGAAGAACAAAUGUGUAAGUAACUAUGCACGUCUUGACGGUACCUAAUCAGAAAGCCACGGCUAACUACGUG
rnacentral:rRNA from 1 species